rnacentral:rRNA from 1 species
CCGGAGGGUCCGCAACGGUGGAAAAAGAAGCUUGCUCCUUGGGUGACGAGUGGCGGACGGGUGAGUAAUGUCUGGGAAACUGCCCGAUGGAGGGGGAUAACUACUGGAAACGGUAGCUAAUACCGCAUAACGUCGCAAGACCAAAGAGGGGGACCUUCGGGCCUCUUGCCAUCGGAUGUGCCCAGAUGGGAUUAGCUAGUAGGUGGGGUAACGGCUCACCUAGGCGACGAUCCCUAGCUGGUCUGAGAGGAUGACCAGCCACACUGGAACUGAGACACGGUCCAGACUCCUACGGGAGGCAGCAGUGGGGAAUAUUGCACAAUGGGCGCAAGCCUGAUGCAGCCAUGCCGCGUGUAUGAAGAAGGCCUUCGGGUUGUAAAGUACUUUCAGCGAGGAGGAAGGUGUUGUGGUUAAUAACCGCAGCAAUUGACGUUACUCGCAGAAGAAGCACCGGCUAACUCCGUGCCAGCAGCCGCGGUAAUACGGAGGGUGCAAGCGUUAAUCGGAAUUACUGGGCGUAAAGCGCACGCAGGCGGUCUGUCAAGUCGGAAUGUGAAAACCCCGGGCUCACCUGGGAACUGCAUCCGAAACUGGCAGGCUAGAUCCUGGAAAGG